rfam:Triticum aestivum genome assembly, contig: Triticum_aestivum_CS42_TGACv1_scaffold_179794_2DS
GAACUACUCCUUCCGUCCGAAAAUACUUGUCAUCAAAAUGGAUAAAAAGAGAUGUAUCUAGAACUAAAAUACGUCUAGAUACAUCCUUUUUUAUCCAUUUUGAUGACAAGUAUUUCCGGACGGAGGGAGUACAUU